rnacentral:rRNA from 1 species
CGGCGAGCGAACGGGGAGCAGCCCAGAGCCUGAAUCAGUAUGUGUGUUAGUGGAAGCGUCUGGAAAGGCGCGCGAUACAGGGUGACAGCCCCGUACACAAAAAUGCACAUGCUGUGAGCUCGAUGAGUAGGGCGGGACACGUGGUAUCCUGUCUGAAUAUGGGGGGACCAUCCUCCAAGGCUAAAUACUCCUGACUGACCGAUAGUGAACCAGUACCGUGAGGGAAAGGCGAAAAGAACCCCGGCGAGGGGAGUGAAAAAGAACCUGAAACCGUGUACGUACAAGCAGUGGGAGCACGCUUAGGCGUGUGACUGCGUACCUUUUGUAUAAUGGGUCAGCGACUUAUAUUCUGUAGCAAGGUUAACCGAAUAGGGGAGCCGAAGGGAAACCGAGUCUUAACUGGGCGUUAAGUUGCAGGGUAUAGACCCGAAACCCGGUGAUCUAGCCAUGGGCAGGUUGAAGGUUGGGUAACACUAACUGGAGGACCGAACCGACUAAUGUUGAAAAAUUAGCGGAUGACUUGUGGCUGGGGGUGAAAGGCCAAUCAAACCGGGAGAUAGCUGGUUCUCCCCGAAAGCUAUUUAGGUAGCGCCUCGUGAAUUCAUCUCCGGGGGUAGAGCACU